GGGUGGAACACCAGUGGUACAAUGCGGUGUGGUGCGAUAGUGCAACAGGAAACGACUCCGCUCUUGUUUCCAUGGACGGCCGUCAAGUUUAGCAGCUUUCAGGGAUUUUCCCAAGGGUUGCACGAAGCGUUCUACUUCAGCGUUGCCUUGGGGCCAUUUGGGAGUAGAGAAGAUUGCCUUUAUUCCAAGGGCGGCUAGACAGCGUUGGUAUUCUUCGCCAUUGUAAGGGGAGCCAUUGGCACUUUUGAGAAGGGUAGGAAUGCCAUGAACCGCAAAGAUCUUGUCGAGUUUUGGUAUCACAGUGGAGGCACAUCUACAAUGACAAGAAGGUAUUCUCCAGUGGGUAGAGGAGCAUAGAAGUCGACAUGAACAGUUUGCCAAGGUUCAUCAGGCAUGGUGGUGGGGGUGAUUGGUGCUGGUGGGCCGGGUCGGCCAAGGGCUUGGCAAGUUAAACAACGAUCAAGAGUUGUUUUAACCAUGGCGUCGAUAUUCAGGAACCAGAGUUUUUCGCGAAUUAAUGCUUUGGUUUUAGUUAGACCCAGGUGCUUCUCGUGGGCGAUGUCGAUGCGCGUUGUUGUAACGCUUGGGGGAUGACAAGUCGAUGUCCACAC